rnacentral:rRNA from 1 species
GACGAACGCUGGCGGCGUGCUUAACACAUGCAAGUCGAACGAUGAAAGCUGGAGCUUGCUCCGGCUGGAUUAGUGGCGAACGGGUGAGUAACACGUGAGCAAUCUGCCCUUGACUCUGGGAUAACUCCGAGAAAUCGGUGCUAAUACCGGAUAUGACCCUUGGCGGCAUCGCUGGGGGUGGAAAGUUUUUCGGUCAAGGAUGAGCUCGCGGCCUAUCAGCUUGUUGGUGAGGUAAUGGCUCACCAAGGCGACGACGGGUAGCCGGCCUGAGAGGGUGACCGGCCACACUGGGACUGAGACACGGCCCAGACUCCUGCGGGAGGCAGCGGUGGGGAAUAUUGCACAAUGGGCGCAAGCCUGAUGCAGCAACGCCGCGUGGGGGAUGACGGCCUUCGGGUUGUAAACCUCUUUUAGCAGGGAAGAAGCGAAAGUGACGGUACCUGCAGAAAAAGCACCGGCUAACUACGUGCCAGCCGCCGCGGUAA